rnacentral:rRNA from 1 species
AUGAUAAUACAUCGAUGCAACGAGGAGACAGAUUGCCGGCUCUCACUUGUGCCCGCCACCAUCGAUGUUUGUUCUGGAAGGGAUGAUGCACCAAGCUGGAUGGGGUCGGUGUCGAUCAUCGCCUUUUGUAGGCAGUACCUUUUGGAAAUUAUGCACCUCGUAUUCCUUGCACUAGCUAAUGGUUUGUGCAUUUUCUCGAUGCAGGAGCAGUGGGUUAGCUUGGACCAACGACAACAUUCAUAUGGAAGUUUAUCUCACUGCACUGGACUAGAGUCAAGGACUGUUAACAUGCUUCUUGACGUCCCCCGUUCCGAAGAAGCAAAGCCAAACAAAUUCCUGCCUCCCCUUGGGCAUCUAAGACACGCAUGUGUUCUUGUCGAGAGAGGAUUGAGUAUGUAG